UAAAUAACAUAAAAACAGCAACGGUUUAUAUUCAGAUACAAUUUAUUAUUGAGUUCUUCUGAGUUAUAGAAACUCCAAUGGCGGCACUCGAAUAUGAGCGUACUUUAGAGAAAACUCCAACAUGGGCAGUUGCUGCGGUCUGUUUUGUGUUGCUUGUAAUAUCAAUUUUCAUCGAGCAUGUCAUCAACUUCAUAGGAAAGUGGUUUAGAAGUAGACAGAAGCGAGCUCUCUAUGAAGCUCUUGAGAAGAUCAAAUCAGAGCUUAUGCUGUUGGGAUUCCUAUCCUUGCUCCUAACAGUUCUACAAGAUCCAAUUUCUGGUAUAUGUAUACCAAAGAGUGUUGCAGCCACUUGGCAUCCUUGCAAUGAUGACCCUCCAAAGACUACAGCUGGGAAACUUGAGGAAUACUCAGAUUCUGGCUUCAUUUUCCGGCGCCAAUUAGCCACAAAAGGAUAUGAUAAGUGCACGGCUCAUGGUAAAGUUGCCUUUGUGUCUGCAUAUGGGAUUCACCAGCUCCAUAUAUUCAUCUUUGUGCUAGCAAUUUUUCAUGUGCUCUACUGCAUCACAACUUUGUUUUUGGGAAGACACAAGAUGAGAAUAUGGAAGUAUUGGGAGAAUGAGACAAAAACAAUUGAAUACCAGUUUAGUACUGAUCCAGAAAGGUUUAGGUAUACGAGGGAUACAUCAUUUGGAAAGAGGCAUUUACACUUCUGGAGCGAGUCACCAGUUUUCCUUUGGAUUGUAUGCUUCUUCAGACAGUUCUACAGGUCAGUUACUAAGACUGAUUACCUGACUCUGAGGCAUGGCUUUAUCACGGCACAUUUAGCACCUGGGAGUGAAACGACCUUUGAUUUUCGGAAGUACAUAAGUAGAUCACUUGAAGAUGACUUCUUAGUUAUUGUUGAGAUAAGUCCAAUUAUAUGGUUCUCAGCAGUGCUGUUCCUGUUGUCUAAUGCAUAUGGAUGGCAUUCGUAUCUCUGGCUACCAUUUAUCUCUUUAAUUAUAAUCCUUGUGGUGGGAACUAAACUACAAGUGAUUAUAACCAAGCUGGGGCUAAGGAUUCAGGAUAGAGGGGGUGUGGUGAUGGGUGCACCGCUUGUUCAACCCGGUGAUCAGCACUUCUGGUUUGGACGCCCGCGCUUCUUGCUCUUCCUCAUCCACUUUGCUUUAUUCCAGAAUGCAUUUCAGCUGGCCUUCUUUGCAUGGAGUACUUGGCAGUUUGGGAUAACUUCUUGCUUCCAUCAAACCCCUCAAGAUACCGCCAUCAGGCUCUCAGUGGGGGUUAUCGUACAAGUUUUAUGUAGUUAUGUGACUCUGCCACUCUAUGCUCUAGUGACACAGAUGGGUUCAAAUAUGAAACCCAAUAGUUUUGAAGAGGGAGUGGCAGAAGCAGUGAAAAAUUGGCAUCACGAAGACAAAAAAGAAAGCAAAGCACAGCCAGCAUUCAGAGAGAACCACACCAUUCUCAACUCCUCCACAUGGCACGUCACCAAUUCAUCUAUUGCAGAAUGCCAACAACCGCAGUGAGGUCACUGAUGGGGAUGACCUAUUUCCACCUCCAGACGCAUCAGUCGUAGUUGAUAUGCAACAUUGGGACACUGAAGGGUCACGUUCCCCGAAGAACAAUGUUGGAUCGAGUGAAAGAGGAGGAAUUAGGCAACCUAGUACUUUUGAGUUAGGCCGAAUUCAAGAGCUACCUGCAUUCUCCUUGUCUCACCCUGAAGUUAGUAGUCCCUCAGGCAUCUCAUCUGCUAGAGCAAGAAAGUGAAAGAGUUCGACUAUGGAAAAUCACUGCUAAUGUACAACAUUUUUUCUUUUCUUCUGCUAGCUAGGGCAUUUCAGAAACAAUGGCUGGCAUAUGUCAUCGUAUAGUUGUAUUACGUAGGAUAUACGAAUACAGCAAAAUGAGCAAAUGCAAGAUGGUACAGUAAGAUUGUUUAAUCUUUUAGGCUUGGCAUAUUUACUUCAAUAAAUUUAAUUUGUUCUUUUGUACAUAUUGUAAACACGAAAUUAUCUGCGACAAAUAACAGAAAAACACGUGUACAAAAUAAAAUAUUUGUAUUAAUGAAUUUAUGGGUUACAAUCUCUAUGGGUAUUCUUUAACAAGAAUUUCCUCUGAUUCGAUCUCCGACGUCGAUUUGAUUCAAGGGUGACGAGCACUUGAUCUUGAAUCGAAUGGUCAUAGUUUAGACUUCUUGUCGUGUUGACAAUUUGUAAAAGAAAGUUGACCAAGGGCCAUAGAGGCUUGAUCUUGAUUGGAUUUGGCCACGAGCGGUUUCACGUGGUGAAUGUUCUUUGGCUUUGAUGGCAGAUGAAUUAGCACGUGUGUUCGGUGCUUGUUGAUUACCCACAAGCUUGUUGAAGAACUUGAUAUAAGUUUUGAUUUGUUGAAGACUUGAAGACUAGCAAGGUUGAUCAAGGGCCGUGGAGGUUUUAUGUUGAUCGGGUUUGAUCCACGAGCGGUUUCACGUGGUGGUUUGUUCUUCGUCUUGAAGUUGGUGAAGAUGUCGGCUAUUGGCAGCUUGGUGACUCUUCGGGUUUGACAACUUCUAAGCCUUCGGAUUGGAGAAAGAAUAAGCUAUUUGGAACCUUGGUAGUUCUUCACAAAGUGUUUUGAGACUUCUGAGCUUUCGGGAGUAAUUUGUUCUCUCUUGCCCGAAGUCC